GACGAACGCUGGCGGCGUGCUUAACACAUGCAAGUCGAACGGUGAAGCGCCUUCCUUUUUGGUGGGUGUGGAUGAGUGGCGAACGGGUGAGUAACACGUGAGUAACCUGCCCCCUUCUUCUGGAUAACCGCAUGAAAGUGUGGCUAAUACGGGAUAUUCUGGGUCUGUCGCAUGAUGGGUCUGGGAAAGAUAUUGUUUCGGUGGGGGAUGGGCUCGCGGCCUAUCAGCUUGUUGGUGGGGUGAUGGCCUACCAAGGCGGUGACGGGUAGCCGGCCUGAGAGGGUGGACGGUCACACUGGGACUGAGACACGGCCCAGACUCCUACGGGAGGCAGCCGCUGGGAAUAUUGCACAAUGGGCGCAAGCCUGAUGCAGCGACGCCGCGUGAGGGAUGGAGGCCUUCGGGUUGUGAACCUCUUUCGCCAGUGAAGCAGGCCUGCCUCGUUUGUGGGUGGGUUGACGGUAGCUGGAUAAGAAGCGCCGGCUAACUACGUG
rnacentral:rRNA from 1 species